rnacentral:tRNA from 2 species
GCCGGUGUAGCUCAGCCCGGUAGAGCGUCUGCCUCGUAAGCAGGGGGUCCCUGGUUCAAAUCCAGGUGUCGGCA